rnacentral:rRNA from 1 species
AGAGUUUGAUCCUGGCUCAGAUUGAACGCUGGCGGCAUGCCUUACACAUGCAAGUCGAACGGUAACGCGGGGCAACCUGGCGACGAGUGGCGAACGGGUGAGUAAUACAUCGGAACGUACCCAGUAGUGUGGGAUAGCCCGGCGAAAGCCGGAUUAAUACCGCAUACGACCUACGGGUGAAAGGGGGGGAUCGCAAGACCUCUCGCUAUCGGAGCGGCCGAUGUCAGAUUAGGUAGUUGGUGGGGUAAAAGCCUACCAAGCCGACGAUCUGUAGCUGGUCUGAGAGGACGACCAGCCACACUGGGACUGAGACACGGCCCAGACUCCUACGGGAGGCAGCAGUGGGGAAUUUUGGACAAUGGGCGCAAGCCUGAUCCAGCCAUGCCGCGUGCGGGAAGAAGGCCUUCGGGUUGUAAACCGCUUUUGUCAGGGAAGAAAAGUUUCAGGCGAAUAUCCUGGAAUGAUGACGGUACCUGAAGAAUAAGCACCGGCUAACUACGUGCCAGCCGCCGCGGUAAUUC